rnacentral:rRNA from 1 species
GACGAACGCUGGCGGCGUGCUUAACACAUGCAAGUCGAACGGUGAACUCCGCUUGCGGGGGGAUCAGUGGCGAACGGGUGGGUAACACGUGGGCAACCUGCCCUCAGCUCUGGGAUAACUCCAAGAAAUUGGGGCUAAUACCGGAUAUGACCGCUGACCGCAUGGUCUGGUGGUGGAAAGAUUUAUCGGCUGGGGAUGGGCCCGCGGCCUAUCAGCUUGUUGGUGGGGUAGUGGCCUACCAAGGCGACGACGGGUAGCCGGCCUGAGAGGGUGACCGGCCACACUGGGACUGAGACACGGCCCAGACUCCUACGGGAGGCAGCAGUGGGGAAUAUUGCGCAAUGGGCGAAAGCCUGACGCAGCGACGCCGCGUGGGGGAUGACGGCCUUCGGGUUGUAAACCUCUUUCAGCAGGGACGAAGCGAAAGUAACGGUACCUGCAGAAGAAGCACCGGCCAACUACGUG